rnacentral:misc_RNA from 1 species
AGAGACGUGCUUUCGAACACGCCUGGUGCACCUGCAAAGGCAGCAGGACAGAUAAUUUGGUCAUCAUGGCCCACAUCUACGUCUGCCGCCACGGCCAGGAUAUGGACAAUGUGCACGGCAUUUUAAAUGGGCACCGCAAUCAGCCGCUUUCUGAGCUGGGCCGUCGGCAGGCUGCAGCUGUCGCCGACAAGAUCAAGGAGAGCGGUGUCAACUAUGCCGCCAUCUACUCCUCUCCGUUGCAGCGCGCUCUCGAGACGGCGUCGGCGAUCGGUGCCGCCGUGAACGUACAGGUGCAGGUGCGUGCCGACCUAAUCGAACGCGACUUCGGCGUCUUGUCGGGAAAGCCGUACGCUGACAUACCCAAGUACGCUGGUGAUAGAGUGCUGCAGGGAGACAAGGUUCUGUACUUUCUCGAAGUCGAAGGCUGUGAGACCUUCGACAAGUGCUACGAACGGGCGCAGAGCGUGCUUGCGGACGUGAACGCGGCGCACGCUGGCGAACAUGUCCUGCUCGUGUGUCACGGUGACAUUGGGAAGAUGCUUCAAGCCGCAAAAGCCAAGGUGGAGUGGCAGGAGGGACUUCGACUCCCCUAUUUUGCUAACACAGAGGUGAUUAAGCUAUAGCGUUAUCGUCGACUACGUUGUUCACAUGCGGCAGAUACGUAUGUGUGUUAGUUCAGGUGAGGGGGCGUAGUUGCUCUGCCCCCCUCCCCCCCCUCCCAGCCCUUCCCCACACAUACGCACUCGCAG